rnacentral:rRNA from 1 species
GAUGAACGCUGGCGGCGUGCCUAAUACAUGCAAGUCGUACGCGACUAGAGAGCUUGCUCUUUAGUUGAGUGGCGAACGGGUGAGUAACACGUGGGUAACCUGCCCUAUAGUUGGGAAUACCUAAGGGAAACUUUAGUUAAUACCGAAUAAUGUUAGUGAGAGGCAUCUCUUACUAAAGAAAGCGGCUUUUGCCGCGCUAUUGGAUGGACCUGCGGCGCAUUAGCUAGUUGGUAGGGUAACGGCCUACCAAGGCAAGGAUGCGUAGCCGACCUGAGAGGGUGAUCGGCCACAAUGGGACUGAGACACGGCCCAUACUCCUACGGGAGGCAGCAGUAGGGAGUUUUCGGCAAUGGGGGAAACCCUGACCGAGCAACGCCGCGUGAACGAUGAAGGUCUUCGGAUUGUAAAGUUCUGUUGUAAGGGAGUAAUGGUUUUGAGAGUGGAAUGCUCAAGACUUGAAAGUACCUUACCAGAAAGCCACGGCUAACUACGUG